rnacentral:ribozyme from 1 species
GUCCUCAGAAAAUGACAAGCAUGUGGGGCGUAAGUAGCUAAGCAGUAAUGGUAUAGUAUCAGCAAUGACCAUUACGCCGAAACUGAUUGCUAUGAUCGUGCGGACGUUAAAAUCAUGU